AGAGCUUGCUCUUAUGAAGUUAGCGGCGGACGGGUGAGUAACACGUGGGUAACCUGCCCAUAAGACUGGGAUAACUCCGGGAAACCGGGGCUAAUACCGGAUAACAUUUUGAACCGCAUGGUUCGAAAUUGAAAGGCGGCUUCGGCUGUCACUUAUGGAUGGACCCGCGUCGCAUUAGCUAGUUGGUGAGGUAACGGCUCACCAAGGCAACGAUGCGUAGCCGACCUGAGAGGGUGAUCGGCCACACUGGGACUGAGACACGGCCCAGACUCCUACGGGAGGCAGCAGUAGGGAAUCUUCCGCAAUGGACGAAAGUCUGACGGAGCAACGCCGCGUGAGUGAUGAAGGCUUUCGGGUCGUAAAACUCUGUUGUUAGGGAAGAACAAGUGCUAGUUGAAUAAGCUGGCACCUUGACGGUACCUAACCAGAAAGCCACGGCUAACUACGUGCCAGCAGCCGCGGUAAUACGUAGGUGGCAAGCGUUAUCCGGAAUUAUUGGGCGUAAAGCGCGCGCAGGUGGUUUCUUAAGUCUGAUGUGAAAGCCCACGGCUCAACCGUGGAGGGUCAUUGGAAACUGGGAGACUUGAGUGCAGAAGAGGAAAGUGGAAUUCCAUGUGUAGCGGUGAAAUGCGUAGAGAUAUGGAGGAACACCAGUGGCGAAGGCGACUUUCUGGUCUGUAACUGACACUGA
rnacentral:rRNA from 3 species